AGUUCAGUUCAUGGCAUCCAUGCUAUGAAGCAACAGGACCCUGACCCUUUCUGGACACCAGAGAAUGAGGAGAGGGGAAGGAGGAGGAGGGGGGAAGAGGAAAAGAAGAAGAAAGAGAGAUGGGAAAAGGGAAAAUGAGGGGGAGAGAGGGAGAAUAUGCUCAUCAGGUAAUUCUGAAGAUCCGUCUCUUCCAGCUACAAGGUCAAUGAAAAGAGAUUGCCUUCUUCCAGAGGACCUAGCACUUCCCCCACCGAAUUGCCACAGAGAAAUCGUGUUCCUGUCCAAAAUGCUCAUGACACAGAGGACUCCAGAUUUCCCUCACAGUCCCACAAUUAUGGGAUCCCAGAACAUCAGGACAUCCCACCAAAAGCUACAUGCAAAAUUCCUCCAGCAGCUUGUCGAGGGUUGGAUUUAAAGAACUUGGGUCAAGCUGUUGCACAAUAUGCUUCAUACUCCUCUGACUCUGUACUAGAUCCUUGUCGUUUCUCCCAAGCACCACCACAGGUCAAAACACAGAAGCCAAGAACCAAUCCAAAUUCAAAGGUUUCUGAGGCUUUGUGCAGUUACUGUUUGAAGGUUCACCCGAGGCCAGGAAAAAGUACUUCUAAGAAGGAAGAGAGCCAUCCCCCUAUAACUUCAACUGAAACUCAAGUGCCAGCCAGACCUCCAAGUCCAAAACUGUGUCUACCUGGACAAGAGGACACGAGGUCAGUGACAGCCCUUAAGAAGGCUAUAGAAAGCUGCAAAACCUAUCUGGAUUACCUUGUAGAACAGCAAACUUGGGCAAUUCAAUUGGUCUUGGUGCUCACGAAGUCAGAGAAAGGCAUUCCUGACGAUGAAGAUAUACAGAGGAUGUUGCAGGUUGACCCAGCAGAACUCAUUCUUGGCCAUAUCUUAGACAAAAAUGAUUAUGGAGCUGCAACAGCAGCAGCAACAUCGAUAGAAACAGCAACAACAGGGGCAUCAACAUCAGCAGAAACAGCUGCAACAGUGGUGGUAGCAGCAGCAACAGAAACAGCUACGACAAUGGCAGCAGCAGAAGUGACAGUAGCGACAGUGGCAGCAGAAACAGCUACAGUAAUGGCAAUAUCAUCUGCAAUAACAGAUGUAGAUGAAGCAGCAGGGGCAGAUGCAGCAGAUGAUGAAGCAGCAGGGGCAGAUGCAGCAGGGGCAGAGGCAGCAGAUGAUGAAGCAGCAGGGGCAGAUGCAGCAGGGGCAGAGGCAGCAGAUGAUGAAGCAGCAGGGGCAGAUGCAGCAGGGGCAGAGGCAGCAGAUGAUGAAGCAGCAGGGGCAGAGGCAGCAGAUGAUGAGGCAGCAGGGGCAGAGGCAGCAGAUGAUGAGGCAGCAGGGGCAGAGGCAGCAGAUGAUGAGGCAGCAGGGGCAGAGGCAGCAGAUGAUGAGGCAGCAGGGGCAGAGGCAGCAGAUGAUGAGGCAGCAGGGGCAGAGGCAGCAGAUGAUGAGGCAGCAGGGGCAGAGGCAGCAGAUGAUG
rnacentral:lncRNA from 1 species